rnacentral:rRNA from 1 species
CGGACGGGUGAGUAACGCGUGAGAAUCUGCCUUCAGGUCGGGGACAACCACUGGAAACGGUGGCUAAUACCGGAUGUGCCGAGAGGUGAAAGGCUUGCUGCCUGAAGAAGAGCUUGCGUCUGAUUAGCUAGUUGGUGGGGUAAGGGCCUACCAAGGCGACGAUCAGUAGCUGGUCUGAGAGGAUGAUCAGCCACACUGGGACUGAGACACGGCCCAGACUCCUACGGGAGGCAGCAGUGGGGAAUUUUCCGCAAUGGGCGAAAGCCUGACGGAGCAAUACCGCGUGAGGGAGGAAGGCUCUUGGGUUGUAAACCUCUUUUCUCAGGGAAGAAGAAAAUGACGGUACCUGAGGAAUAAGCAUCGGCUAACUCCGUGCCAGCAGCCGCGGUAAUACGGAGGAUGCAAGCGUUAUCCGGAAUGAUUGGGCGUAAAGGGUCUGCAGGUGGUAGUGAAAGUCUGCUGUUAAAGAGUCUAGCUCAACUAGAUAAGAGCAGUGGAAACUACACAACUAGAGUACGGUAGGGGCAGAAGGAAUUCCUGGUGUAGCGGUGAAAUGCGUAGAUAUCAGGAAGAACACCGGUGGCGAAAGCGUUCUGCUAGACCUGUACUGACACUGAGGGACGAAAGCUAGGGGAGCGAAAGGGAUUAGAUACCCCUGUAGUC